rnacentral:rRNA from 1 species
GACGAACGCUGGCGGCGUGCUUAACACAUGCAAGUCGAACGGAAAGGCCUGCUUUCCCUUGUGGAUUGCGGGUACUCGAGUGGCGAACGGGUGAGUAACACGUGAGUGAUCUGCCCCCAACUUGGGUAUAAGCCUGGGAAACUGGGUCUAAUUCCCGAUAGGACUGCAGGGUGGUGCCUGUGGUGGAAAACGAUUUUCUAGUGGUUGGGGAUGAGCUCGCGGCCUAUCAGCUUGUUGGUGGGGUAAUGGCCUACCAAGGCGGCGACGGGUAGCCGGCCUGGGAGGGUGGACGGGCACAUUGGGACUGAGAUACGGCCCAGACUCCUACGGGAGGCAGCAGUGGGGAAUAAUGCACAAUGGGCGGAAGCCUGAUGCAGCGACGCCGCGUGGGGGAUGACGGCCUUCGGGUUGUAAACUCCUUUCGACCGCGAGGAAGCCACCUGGUUGGAAGGGUGGUGACGGUAGUGGUAGAAGAAGCACCGGCUAACUACGUG